AACGAGGUAGGUCAUUUAAUUCGGAUUCGGCAAAAAUUCGGUACGGGUAUAAUUCGGAUAAAAUUCGUCUUCUAAUUUUUAAAUUCGUUGAAAAAUACGGCUAAAAAACGGAUUCGUUAAUUAUUCGGAUACGUGAUUUAUACAGAUAUUAUACGUUCAUCAAUUAAAAAUUCGGGAUCAAAAAUUCGGCUAUUAAAUUAAGUUUUUUUUCUCUGAAAAUUUAUAAUACUAGCAUAAAUACUCAUAUUUCUUAAGAAUAUAAGAAAAAAGAACUACAAAAUUAAGCUAAUUAAGUAAAAAAAAUAGCAAACUAUAUUAUACCUCAAAAUAAAUAAUAAAGUAAAUAAGAGAUUAAAUUUUUUUGAUCGAGUGAUUUUUUUUGGGGGGGGAGAGGAGAGCGAACGUUUCGAAAAGAUUUUUUUUUUUUUUGUGCGAGGUUUGGAUUUUGGAAAUGGUU
rnacentral:lncRNA from 1 species